UACGUAGGGUGCAAGCGUUAUCCGGAAUUAUUGGGCGUAAAGAGCUCGUAGGCGGUUUGUCGCGUCUGCCGUGAAAGUCCGGGGCUCAACUCCGGAUCUGCGGUGGGUACGGGCAGACUAGAGUGAUGUAGGGGAGACUGGAAUUCCUGGUGUAGCGGUGAAAUGCGCAGAUAUCAGGAGGAACACCGAUGGCGAAGGCAGGGUCUCUGGGGCAUUAACUGACGCUGAGGAGCGAAAGCAUGGGGAGCGAACAGG
rnacentral:rRNA from 1 species